rnacentral:rRNA from 1 species
AACGAACGUUAGCGGCGCGCUUAACACAUGCAAGUCGAACGAGAAAGGGCUUCGGCCCCGGUACAGUGGCGCACGGGUGAGUAACACGUGGGUAACCUUCCCUCGAGCGGGGGAUAACGUUCCGAAAGGACCGCUAAUACCGCAUAAGACCACGAGCCCGAAAGAGCAUGCGGGCAAAGCUGCCCUCUAUUCAUAAGCUAGCGCUUGAGGAUGAGCCCGCGGCGCAUCAGGUAGUUGGUGCGGUAAUGGCUCACCAAGCCGAAGACGCGUAGCUGGUCUGAGAGGAUGAUCAGCCACACUGGAACUGAGACACGGUCCAGACUCCUACGGGAGGCAGCAGUGGGGAAUCUUGCGCAAUGGGCGAAAGCCUGACGCAGCGACGCCGCGUGAGUGAUGAAGGCCUUCGGGUUGUAAAGCUCUGUGGGGAGAGACGAAUAAGUGCAAGCUAAUACCUUGCAUGAUGACGGUAUCUCCUUAGCAAGCACCGGCUAACUCUGUGCCAGCCGCCGCCGUAAUAC